rnacentral:rRNA from 1 species
GACGAACGCUGGCGGCGUGCUUAACACAUGCAAGUCGAACGGAAAGGCCCUGCUUUUGUGGGGUGCUCGAGUGGCGAACGGGUGAGUAACACGUGAGUAACCUGCCCUUGACUUUGGGAUAACUUCAGGAAACUGGGGCUAAUACCGGAUAGGAGCUCCUGCUGCAUGGCGGGGGUUGGAAAGUUUCGGCGGUUGGGGAUGGACUCGCGGCUUAUCAGCUUGUUGGUGGGGUAGUGGCUUACCAAGGCUUUGACGGGUAGCCGGCCUGAGAGGGUGACCGGCCACAUUGGGACUGAGAUACGGCCCAGACUCCUACGGGAGGCAGCAGUGGGGAAUAUUGCACAAUGGGCGGAAGCCUGAUGCAGCAACGCCGCGUGCGGGAUGACGGCCUUCGGGUUGUAAACCGCUUUCGCCUGUGACGAAGCGUGAGUGACGGUAAUGGGUAAAGAAGCACCGGCUAACUACGUG